rnacentral:rRNA from 1 species
AACGAACGCUGGCGGCAUGCCUAACACAUGCAAGUCGAACGAGACCUUCGGGUCUAGUGGCGCACGGGUGCGUAACGCGUGGGAACCUGCCCUUAGGUUCGCAAUAACUCCCCGAAUGGGGUGCUAAUACCGGAUCAUGUCUUCCGACCAAAGGUUUAUCGCCUUUGGAUGGGCCCGCGAUGGAUUAGCUAGUUGGUAGGGUAAAAGCCUACCAAGGGCGCGAUCCAUAGCUGGUAUGAGAGGAUGAUCAGCCACACUGGGACUGAGACACGGCCCAGACUCCUACGGGAGGCAGCAGUGGGGAAUAUUGGACGAUGGGCGAAAGCCUGAGCCAGCAAUGCCGCGUGGGUGAUGAAGGCCUUAGGGUUGUAAAGAUCUUUUACCCGGGAUGAUAAUGACAGUACCGGGAGAAUAAGCUCCGGCUACCUCCGU